CACCGACUGACCGCGGCGAGGGCUCGAAACAGGUGUGGCGGUCUUCAGGGGUCUUUUACGGCACCCCACCCGCGCUUCAUUGACCCACACUAAAAAGACUUUCCAACUCAUUGACACCAAGUUGCUGAGCACCAGGGACGGGACAAUGAACGAGUUCACACCUUCCGGCAGUCACAAGAACACCCUCCUUCAGCCUGCCAGCGUAUUGAAGGUGUGGAUGUUUGUUUUAAAUAAGUUUCAUCUAAAGUUUCUAGCCAGAAUCUUACUUGCAUGGAAAUGCAAUUAGAACAGGCUUGGGAUGGUUUGAAAAUCGCAGGAUCAGGAGUGUGGACAACAUCCGUAUGGUCUUCCUGGAAACUGUGAGGAAGCUCAUUAUAUUGCCAAACAUCCCAGGUUACUCUGAGCCUCUUCCUGUUUCUGUUGUCCUGCCAUGACCCAGAACACACCAGAAGACACUUAUCGAUUACUUUCUGUCCUCUGUCAAACAUACAGAUUCUCUGAGGAGUUCAAAAAUGUUCAAGCUGCUGUUAGACGUUGCUUUAAGAACAUCCAGGGUAAACUUUGACUCAAAUUUAGGUAAAUUAUGGACAAACCCAAACCUUGUGCUAAAUUUGUAAUUAAAUUGUUUGGAUUUGUCAAUAUUUUACUAGAAUUUGGGCUGAAAUAAUUCUGCUUUUUUAGUGUAGAAAGCAAUGUUAUUAUUGUUAAGCAUUUUUAAAUGAGUUUUUAUUUCAAUACUAGUUUGACGUUUCAGUUUAGCUUUGGUUUGUUUCAGUAUUGCUUUACUUUUUCCAUUAAUGAUUUUCUUUUUUGUUUUUUAUACUUGGUUUCGCUUUUAGUUUUUGUAAUUAUAGUUUAGCCGUUAACUUAAUAUGUCUAGUGUCCACCAAAUAUUUCCAUCUUACAUUUAACGCUUGUGCAAGCAUCUUAAUAAAAAUAAAAGUGAAAUGGCU
rnacentral:lncRNA from 1 species